UCAAUAUCGUCGUCUUCUUCGGGUGGAAAUGAAGAGGCGCCGAAACAGAAAAUGGAAUCCGACAUGGAUCAACUUCACGAGAAAGCAAAAGAUGAUUA